rnacentral:rRNA from 1 species
CGUGUAGGCGGUAAUGUAAGUCAGACGUGAAAUCCUUUGGCUCAACUGAAGAACUGCGUCUGAAACUGCAUGACUAGAGUGCAGAAGAGGGAAACGGAAUUCCAGGUGUAGAGGUGAAAUUCGUAGAUAUCUGGAGGAACACCGGUGGCGAAGGCGGUUUCCUGGUCUGACACUGACGCUGAGGCGCGAAAGCGUGGGGAGCAAACAGGAUUAGAUACCCUGGUAGUCCACGCUGUAAACGAUGAACACUAGACUGUCGGGAGGGUUCCUUCCGGUGUCGUCGCUAACGCAGUAAGUGUUCCGCCUGGGGAGUACGCUCGCAAGGGUGAA